CAAAAUCCAAGAUGGCGGAAAUUCAGUUACGUUUGACAUGCGUGCGGUGUUGUACUUCCGUCUCAGUCCGCGUGUGAGAAAUGAUUGUUUCUUCAUAAAGUAGCCAACUGGACAAUAUUAUGGCACAUUAAUCCGUGGGGAUAUUCUCUUUUUCUGGAUAUAUCAAUGCUUCUCUGUAUCAGGACCUGAACAUGGAUUGGGCUGCAAAGGACCCCUCAACAGGGAAAAAUCUGAGGUGAAGCCUCGCUGCCCGUCGUGCCGCCCGCCGGGCCGCUCUCCUGCUUCUGCCCGGACUGCGGGUGCCCACUCCUGGUUGGUGGGUUGCUGCCAUGCCCGGUGUCCCGGUUGUGCUGCAGCUCCUCUGUCUCUGGAGACGCGUCUUCCAGCUCCGUGUAGCGCCGCGCCGAGCCUCCACCACCACCACCACCACCAACGCCGGAGGAAGAGGCGGAGGACAGGUUUGGAGAGCUGAGAUUAGCGCUUCCUGGUUGCUCGGAGCGUGGAGAAGAGCCCUGUCCGCCCAGCUUGGUGUCUCCAUUGCCGGAUGACAGGAGGGAGUCUGCCGCAGAGGCGAGGGAGCAGCUGGACGGCUGUCUGAAGCUCCUGUCCGAGGCUGAAGCGCCGAAGCCCAGGGAGUCCCCUACGACCGAGCCUCCCCCGAAGUGUCCUCCGGUGUUGACGCCGCCGCCGCUCCCCCCUCCCCGGGCAGGACGCUCUGUUUCCUCUCGGCUAUGUGGGAACGGGAAGCGGCCGCAUUGUGCUCGAGCUGCUGUGGUUUAAUCAUUAAUGAGCUCUCAGAGUGAGGACAGAACAUGCAUGAUGCAACACACACACUCACACACUGGUGUGUUACUGUUUGGGGGAGAGGAGCCACAAACAAACGGCGACAAAUGGAGGAGGAGGAGGAAGACGGAGAGGAAGACUCGGGCGGAAACGCAGACUGUAAACUGUCUGAGUGAGGGGCCGGUUUGAAGCAGCACAGAGAGCGAAGGAGAGGAAGAUAAAGAGAUGAUAUAGCAUUGCAGAGAGAUCGUUAGGCGGCUGGAGAUUUUUGUCAAGAACGCAUCACCGCCUUACAGAGGAGGCAGCGCGAGCCGGCUGGCCGCGUCCUUCACGGCGUCGUGAGCACGUGCUCAGGGUCAGUUCACCGGACUGUUACCGGAGGGCGCGAGUACCCCGGUCACACCACCAUACCAGGGCCCCGGGACAAGUUAAAGAUUAACGGAGGGAUGAAUGCAGCAUCACGGGGAGAAGAGCGUGUUCUCUGGAAGUUUCACGUGCACGUAUGACACCCCAAAAUCAGAAAUACCGCACAUUGUUUCGGAUGUUUGACUUAUUAUUAUUAUUAUUAUUAUUAUUAUUAUUAUUAUUAUUAUUAUUAUUAUUAUUAUUAUUACUA